rnacentral:rRNA from 1 species
UACGAAGGGGGCAAGCGUUGUUCGGAAUUACUGGGCGUAAAGGGUGUGUAGGCGGAUAAGUAAGAUAGGGGUGAAAUCCCGGGGCUCAACCUCGGAAUUGCCUUUAUUACUAUUUAUCUAGAGUGAUAGAGAGGAUAGCGGAAUACCCAGUGUAGAGGUGAAAUUCGUAGAUAUUGGGUAGAACACCGGUGGCGAAGGCGGCUAUCUGGCUAUUAACUGACGCUGAGGCACGAAAGCAUGGGGAUCAAACAGG